UAAUCUAGAAUCUUUUAAUUAUCAAAGCUUAGAAUAAAUAUCAACUUGUAUAAUGGAAUUGCCAAGGAAAACUAGAAUUGGCUUAGUUCAAAUUUGGAUCUAGAAUAUGAUUACUUGAUCAUAUGAUGGUAUAAAUACGACAACUAUCUCAAGGGUUAAUCAUGACCUAGUGUACUUGGGAAGCAAGGAUAAAAUUUUGCUUGGAUAUUAAAAAGAAAAAAAAA
rnacentral:lncRNA from 1 species